GCAAGUCGAGCGGCAGCACGGGUACUUGUACCUGGUGGCGAGCGGCGGACGGGUGAGUAAUGCCUAGGAAUCUGCCUGGUAGUGGGGGAUAACGCUCGGAAACGGACGCUAAUACCGCAUACGUCCUACGGGAGAAAGCAGGGGACCUUCGGGCCUUGCGCUAUCAGAUGAGCCUAGGUCGGAUUAGCUAGUUGGUGAGGUAAUGGCUCACCAAGGCGACGAUCCGUAACUGGUCUGAGAGGAUGAUCAGUCACACUGGAACUGAGACACGGUCCAGACUCCUACGGGAGGCAGCAGUGGGGAAUAUUGGACAAUGGGCGAAAGCCUGAUCCAGCCAUGCCGCGUGUGUGAAGAAGGUCUUCGGAUUGUAAAGCACUUUAAGUUGGGAGGAAGGGCAUUUACCUAAUACGUAAGUGUUUUGACGUUACCGACAGAAUAAGCACCGGCUAACUCUGUGCCAGCAGCCGCGGUAAU
rnacentral:rRNA from 1 species